CCCAUUAAGGCGAUUAAGCGUUUCGAUGGAAGUCUUCCAUUGAUCCCGUGCAAUAUUUCCUUCUGACCUGCAAGAACAAUCCCAGGGUAUCGUGAAGUUACUUGCGCUUGGUGGAAUCCCCCCGAAGUUAUCAACGACAAAGUACGCACUUACCGUAAAGAGGGUGCAAUAGCAGCAGCUAAUCUUUUCCUUCAAUCUUUCGCUUCAACCUCCACCGUGAAAUGUUCUUUCCUACACAACUGUUUCACGGACGAUAGAUAAGUGGUACGAGUCGCGUUCAUUCAAACGGCCGGUGUCGAUUCGAACGCGAGCUUAUUGCUGCGAAAGCGCGGGCAAAAGUGUCGUGGACAUGACCACAUACGAAAAUUCACUAAAAAUACCAUAGAGGGCCUGACAUGCGCGAGAUCCGAACCGCUUACUACAGCCGAUCGAAUACUGCACUCGACACCGCGUGUUCUCUCCCUUUACUACCUCCUUCUAUCAUCGCUUUAUUCCCCUCCCUACGUCUGAUCGACAACAUCUCGCCCCCUCUCUGCAUUUCUUUUUUUUUUUUCUUUCGCAUGACCACUUCUAAUCCCUGCUUUGACACAUUAUUUAACUCGUUAAUUCUUAGAUAGCUCUCUGAUAUAAACAAAAACACAUGCGAGCAAAUAAUUGACGCUUUUGCACCCGCAUUGCGUACAAGAUUGUCAACAAGUUAUCGUCAACUCGAUCGGCAACAUUUAAAUGCUGCAACACACGAUAACGUAGCCGCUUUUAGAUCCAAGCAACAAACGUGUCAGUUUGUGUCAGUACUAAACAGGUAGCAAAAGAAAACGUUGCAUGUACUUACGUUAAAUAUGUAUCCUUAACACUAGAUUGCCGGAUGGCACAUAUGGAUUACAAUGAGUAAUUCGUAGCAAAGAUUUAUUUGAUUCAUUAUGUUUUUUUACUGUGAUAUUUCUUAACGUGUGGUUUAUGCAAUAUAUGAAAACUGGAAACAUGAUACACAUUCAUUUUUUUUUGCACACGUUUGAAAAAAAUCUGCUGCGUAACAUAAUUGCAAGUUACAUUGCCAAUUUGCAAGUAAAGCGGUUUGAAAAAUUGGAACGUGAUUAAGGAAAACAAAGUUUUUUAUUAAUUAAUGUAAGGUAUUGUUUUAGCUUAUUCUAAUAAAGAUUAAUAUUGCGCCUGGAUAUACGCAACCCGCCUUGCACCGACGUAAGGGGGUGUUGCUAUCAAGGGGUUUCUGUUUUUGGGUGAAUUAUUGAAUCAAUUUGUCUCUAAUUUUAUUUUAUAUACAUGUAAAGUGGAUAUACCCUUAUCAUAGAAGUAUGCUAAUAUCUGAAAUAAUGUUUUUCCAAUAAUCGAAGAAAUUGAAAGUUUCAUGAUAGUCGAAAGUCAAAAAUGACUCUGCCAAAUAGUAAUUACAGUUUCUUCGAUAUCAUUCGCUAAAAGUAUCUAAUAAAUUAUUGUAGGUUAUCGAUAAUUCAAUGGAUUUAACGAUCCGGUUUCUCUAAAUCUGUUAAAUUAACAAUGCUAAUUAAAUGACCUCAUUUUGUUCCAUGAUUGUCAUUUCCAAUAUUCUUGUUUUGCAAUUUAGUUCGCGUUUGAUUAACAUUCAAAUGGUUUUCGACCACGUUCAGUGUUGUCUUAAUAAAAAAAAAUUAUUUCUAAGUAGAGAGCGAAUAAUGUUUUAAUUGUUUAGAAACUGCUUCUAAUUGUUUGUUCAAUUACAAGUACAAGUUAUCCCAAUCUUUCGAUGAACUAUUUAUAACAUCCUCAUUUAAUAUAUUUUUCAAAAGUUUAGGAGCAAAAAACUUGUAUUAAUUGUAGAUGAAAUCGGAAUAAUACUGCUAUUCGAGUUCAAAUAGCAAUACAAGUUUAUCACCGAUUUCAAUGAACUUGAAUGCUUAUGUAAGAUAUCCGCAUAAGAAGGAAAGUGCUCUUCAUUUUUUUUUUUAAAUCAGCAAUUUAUUGGCAUACGGUUAUGCAUCAAGUUGAUAUUCCUCUAUGUCUAGGUACAGUUAUAAUAUAAUAUAGGUUCAUAGAUAUGUAAUCAUUUAUUAAUUAGCGAAGUUGAUAUAUCAAUGACUUGUAUUUCUGGAAAGAGCAUUUUAAACAAUCUUAUCAUAACAAGGUACAAAGGUAUCCUCUUGAUUAAGGGGGAUUAAGAAAAUGAUUUUUUCUAUCUUUUUAUUACUAAUAUUUAGAAAAGAUCAUGAUCAAUUUUUAUUGAAGUUUUCCAAAAUUUGUCACUGUUUAAAUUGGCACCUUUUAUGUGUUUAUUACAUUGAAUUCAUAUUUGAUUCAAUUAUCUAUUACAUUGGAUAGUGUAAUGCAUUGAAAUGACCGAACGUGCCUUUGUCAUCCACGAGGUCAGUAUCACAAUGAAGUGUGACUCAGGAUGACCAUUGACCCGACCUCGUGGUCUUUCAACGUUACUUUUUAACCGAAGGAUAUAUGCGCAAUGCAAUCGCUAAAUUAAUCGCUUAAUUACUCAAAAUUAUUUGUUUUACGGGAAUUUAUUUACAUGUACUAAUAUAUCACCGUGUAAUUAUGAACUGAAACGCAUAAGACAGUUUCAUGCUUUGUUAUUUAAAGUUAACAGAUAUUUAUUCAUAGUUGUAGGUCAUUAAUAAAAUAUACAAAUUGACAGAAGUCUCAUUCACAUUGUAAAUAAUAUUUAUUCAUCAUCUUGUACAACUGUUGUUUUUUCAGAUACAUAGAGACCGUCUAAGAA